GUGACAUUCUGGCUUAUGGUACAAAUUCCCCACACACUGUUGGAGACUCAGGUAUCUACUGUACCAUAAACAAAUAAAGGCUCUUGUGCUGCAUCAAGAAGGCCCGCUCCAAAUUCCACAGAGGAUGACAACAGAGACCUGGACUGAGGAAGGAAGAAGCUGGAAAGGUUGUUACUAAAGCUGAAACAGCUGGCUAGAAACACUCUGCUUGUUUUCCUGUCCGUCCCUGCACUCUGUUACACAAGGCAGCUUGAGCAGCCAGUAGCUGAAAACCCGACCACUUGCUGAGAUCCAUCUUUCAUUUAUUUUAUCUCCUUGCCUGCAUUUACGUCUAGUGACGUGGUAGGCUGAAGAAAGAAAGUUG
rnacentral:lncRNA from 14 species